UGUCCUUUACCCUGGCGUAGUCGUGUAUGGCUGUGUCAGGAACUGCUCGGUACGCCUCCGCUGCUCGGCCUGUCAGCUUACUGCUUAAAAUCGCGGCCCAUUGCUCUGAUUCCAGACCUUCCAAUGCGCAUUGACGCUCAAAAUCCUGCAGGUAUGCGUCAAUUUCCAUAUCUCCAUCUGAAAAACUUUUAAAAGCAGCAUAGUUGAUCUUUCUCCGCUGCCCUCCAUUUAUAGAUCCAG